ensembl:lncRNA
GGAAGAGGUUAAUAAAAUGGAAUGAGGAUUGACUUUUGAUGUGUGCUUGUUUUUUCAGAAUGCACUAGAAUGACUGAAAUGACUGAAUCAGCGUGGAAGUAAAACUGUAGUUUCCCGAGACAUCCCAGGAACUGUUUUUCAAACUGAAACCACACCUUUGGUAAUCAUCCAUUUAAGGCCAGGUGUGUCUGGCUCAUACUUUUAAUCAGUUUGUUGUGAGGCAAGUCAAGUUGAUCUAUUGUUCUGGUGGUGAGCAGGUCAUUUCUUACAUGUGUGUGCUCUGUAUUGCAGUUAUUUUCUUAUUCAGGGUCAUUAUAUUUAAUUGGUGGUGUCACCAUUUGUAAGAUGCACUUAUUUUUCAAUGGAAUUAUUUAAUGACCUGAAUUCACUUAAUCACCUUGUUGGUACUGAUGGGCAAACAAAGCUUCCUGAAGUGUUGAGGCUUUCCAUCUAAUUGUGUUAUACUGUAGGUUCAUUACUCAAGGCUUUGAUCAACAAAGUGUACACUUGUGGCACAUUUUAUAGUUGUCCCACACACCAUAGUGCAUUCGAAGCAUAGCCUUUUUGUCUUCUACCGAAACCAAUACAGGACCAAUUGGGUUGUUUGAUGAAACAAAGCUUCAGAUGUCAUUGAUCAUGUGCUUCUGAUAGUGAUACAGGCAUCGGCACACUGCUUUGAGUUUAGGUAUGGCAGCUUCACAAUUUGAAAAUGGACCACAUGUGGCAGCGGGGCACAUUGGGCCACACCAGCCAGUUCCUCAGCCCAACCCUGGCACAUGGCACCCAGUGCAUGGACCCGAAGGAUCAGGGCCCCAUCUAACCGAUCAUCAGCCCCAUCCUCAUGUGCACCAGUCUCGACCCUACUUCUAUGUGCAGCCCCCUCCUCCUCUCCCCCUCUACCACUACCAGUGGCCCAUGCCCUACAACCCCUGCUCUGGAAUUCCAGGAAUGGCUAAGUUUAAAUAUGUUUUUCUUACCCAGUAGUAUAAAUGCUGUAUUAUGUCCAGUCUGGAGGUAUAAAGUAAUAUUCAUGAUCAGUAA